AGCUGUUUUAGCGUGCUAUUCAGCGGUUUGAUAUACAGGCUAUUGUUACUGAGUUGAAUAUCGCCACUGGCUUCUACCGCGCCGUGUGCCAAGGGAAUAUCGAGGUGCAGCGCACCAUUGACGUUACCGCCAAUUUGCAUCUGCUUUAACGCACUCCCCACGCUGUCCUUGAGCGGCGUUUGUUCAAAAUAGUGUCCGACAUCGGGCCCUUCCCCUUGAAGUUCGCCAUCAAUCAGCAACUUUUCUUUGCUGUAGUCAGGGAUGGCGGCAAGAAUAUUUCUGCCGGCAACAUUCCCUAACUGCGUUGAUGGCGCGGACAUCCACAGGCCGUUGUUGGCAAAAUUGAGAUCGAUAUCCAACGGUGACAGCACGGGCCAGCCUGCUUCAAAUUCAAAGGUAGCCGCGCGUAGCGGCACC
rnacentral:ncRNA from 1 species